rnacentral:rRNA from 1 species
UGGGGAAUAUUGGACAAUGGGGGCAACCCUGAUCCAGCAAUGCCGCGUGAGUGAUGAAGGCCUUAGGGUUGUAAAGCUCUUUUACCGGGGACGAUGAUGACGGUACCCGGAGAAUAAGCCCCGGCUAACUUCGUGCCAGCAGCCGCGGUAAUACGAAGGGGGCGAGCGUUGUUCGGAGUUACUGGGCGUAAAGGGCGCGUAGGCGGCGCUCCAAGUUAGGCGUGAAAGCCCCGGGCUCAACCUGGGAAUAGCGCUUAAGACUGGAGUGCUUGAGUGCGGGAGAGGUGAGUGGAAUUCCCAGUGUAGAGGUGAAAUUCGUAGAUAUUGGGAAGAACACCAGUGGCGAAGGCGGCUCACUGGCCCGCAACUGACGCUGAGGCGCGAAAGCGUGGGGAGCAAACAGGAUUAGAUACCCCCGUAGUCC